UGAGGGAUAUUGCACAAUGGGCGCAAGCCUGAUGCAGCGACGCCGCGUGAGUGAUGAAGGCCUUCGGGUCGUAAAACUCUUUUGCCGAUGACGAGGAAGGACGGUAGUCGGCGAAUAAGCCUCGGCUAACUACGUGCCAGCAGCCGCGGUAAAACGUAGGAGGCGAGCGUUAUCCGGAGUUACUGGGCGUAAAGCGUGCGCAGGCGGUUCUGUAAGUGGCUUGUGAAAGCGGCCGGCUAAACCGGGGGG
rnacentral:rRNA from 1 species